UUAAAGUUGUUGCAGUUAAAAAGCUCGUAGUUGAAACUUGGGUCUGGCUGACUGGUCUGCCUCACCGCGAGUACUAGCUUAGCUGGGCCUUUCCUUCUGGGAAGCCCUAUGCCCUUCAUUGGGUGUAGCGGGGAACCAGGACUUUUACUUUGAAAAAAUUAGAGUGUUCAAAGCAGGCCUAUGCUCGAAUACAUUAGCAUGGAAUAAUA
rnacentral:rRNA from 1 species